AAAGGAAUUGACGGGGGCCCGCACAAGCGGUGGAGCAUGUGGUUUAAUUCGAUGCAACGCGAAGAACCUUACCUACCCUUGACAUCCUCGGAAGCCGAAAGAGAUUUCGGUGUGCCUUCGGGAACCGAGAGACAGGUGCUGCAUGGCUGUCGUCAGCUCGUGUUGUGAAAUGUUGGGUUAAGUCCCGUAACGAGCGCAACCCUUGUCCCUAUUUGCCAGCGAUUCGGUCGGGAACUCUAGGGAGACUGCCGGUGACAAACCGGAGGAAGGUGGGGACGACGUCAAGUCAUCAUGGCCCUUACGGGUAGGGCUACACACGUGCUACAAUGGUCGGUACAAAGGGUUGCGAGUCCGCGAGGCCAAGCCAAUCCCGUAAAGCCGAUCUCAGUCCGGAUCGGAGUCUGCAACUCGACUCCGUGAAGUCGGAAUCGCUAGUAAUCGUGAAUCAGAAUGUCACGGUGAAUACGUUCCCGGGCCUUGUACACACCGCCCGU
rnacentral:rRNA from 1 species